UGCAAACAUUUUUCCCGUAUUAAAUACGUAAUACGUAAAUAAACCAUGUGAUGGUAUUUUAUGUCAUUUUAAAAAGCAAAACUGUGUAUUGACUGCACCCCUGUAUAUUAAACAUUACCUUGUCUAACGUGAAGCUAAAUGUCACUCGGUUUUGGUGCGAGCCAUUUAAAAGUUGUAUGAAGUAGGGAUGGCCAUUUCAAGCAGACAUUACUACACCUCCUCCCCACAAAAGCCGUUUUCACAGAUGAAGAAUCAGGCUCCCUUUCCCACCUGUAUCACAGGAGAGAUAGUCCUUGUCUGGAAUGGUUGAUUUAGAGCGCUGAUAAUAAGCAUGUUGGGCUUGGUAGCUGGCCGUGGUCCUGGUAUGCCCAUAGUGGAGAUUGCGUAUGAAUGAUGUCCACUGACACCUCCUAUGGAUAAGGAGUAAUGUGAGCUUAGAGCUAUUAAUGAAAAUGAGGAGAAUGGGGAGGAGGUGGGAUACUUUGCUACGGCAGACUGAGUGAUGUGGUAGACAGAUGAGGGGGGUUUAAAUCUCCUCAAAAGUGGAAAUGGGAUGAGUGACAGCCGUCAAUCAUCCCAAUGGGCUCCUCCUGAACUUUGUUUAAAAAACUGUCAGAGCUUCCCGUUGACAGACUUUAAGUAAUGGAGCUAGAACCUUUUUCUGACUCCAUUGAACUCGAAGAUUCGGACUUCAUACAUCCAACGCUUCAUUCGGGGGUUCCUAGGAUACAGCCACUUCUCCAUCGGGUCCAGGCUUAGAGAGGUCAUCCACACAGGCGCUCUUCUCCCGCCCCUGUCCGAGGCUCUCCCUGCUCCACUGGUUUAGAACUGGAUCUGUAGAGUCCCCUACACUUUUGCCUGUCUGUAGAGUCCACUACACUUUUGCCUGUCUGUAGAGUCCACUACACUUUUGCCUGUCUGUAUUGGCAGCAUUUACACGAAAAGCCAAAGGCUCUGGUGAGGCCCUGUGUAAAGAAAUGCAUUUCCUUGUGUUGCACAUUAGAGGGCAUAUUGGGUAUGUUAUACUGAUAUACAAACACCAAACAAAACUGCGUGGAAAGUACACAUCAGCCUGACAGUCAGUGCAGUAAUCAAUAUGUUGAUAGUAUGAAAUAUUAAUUAUAAAAUGCAAUUACCACAUAUAUAAUGUAUACCGUGUGCUGCCAUUUAGAGUGAAUUCACAUAUUUUCCCAGCCUGCAGUAUUGACUGCUCCUGUUUCAAGAGGGAAAAGUGAAGACACACCACAAGAACUGCUGGAGCAGAAGCCUUCUGGUAUUGAGGAGUCAGGAGAAUCAAGGUAGAAGUACUUUAAUAUACAGGUGUACAGUUAGUCAUGUUUUAAAAAUGGGAUGGGUAUCAAUUGGGUUUUUUCCGAUACCGGUGCUAAAACGAUACUUUUAAAACAAUACCGUUGCCUUAACGGUGCCUGAACCGAUACUUAAAAAAAAAAAAAAGCAUAAAACGACGAUUGACGACAUUAAAAAAAUGCUUUUUGUAUUGCCAAGGCAAAUUUUGGUCUUCAAAUGGAACAAUAUAUUAACUGUUUAAAGUAUACUAAUAAUAUAAAUACAAAACACUUGGCUUCAAACUACAGCUUCAAACUUUUUAACUUCAAACUAUGAACAAUAUAUUAACUGUUAACAACAGUUUACAGUAUACUUAAAUAAAUAUAAAUAAAUACAAAACACACACACACACACUCUGUACACACACUACAGCUUCAAAAAUUAUUUUGCAGAAUAUGAAAUAUUUAUUAUUUUGUUUGCCUUUAUUUCAUGAAAUUUCACCAUUUUCUGAUUUGUUUUAUACCUAUCUUUUCUAUCUUGUUUAUACUUAAUCUUCUUAUUUGAACACACUGAGUACGUGAACUUGUACUGCCCCUUUAAGAGACUAGGUUUAGUUUUGCUGGCAUCUCCGUUUAGUCUUCAGUCUGCGGUUGCUGAUCUGCUUUUGACUCUUGCCUUCUCUCCCCCCUUUACACGCAAUUGUUUUGUUGCAUUUGCUGCACGUCGCGUUGUUUGAAUCUUAUUGUGCGAAAUACAGCCACACUUUUGAUCGUUUACCUUUCGGCAUUUUUUCUGUUAAAUUGAUGGCUAGCUCAGUUUGUGCUUUCUCUGUGAAAUGCUGCCUGCUCUUCGCUGUUAUAAGACUGUUGCUAUGGAAAUACCAAUGAGCGUGAGCGACACAGGCCAAAGUUUACAUUGGGAGAUGGGGCAGUUUUAAAUGUGCCCCUCGAAAUCUGCCUAGCAACUGUGACCAAGACAAAAUUAUUCAUACAGAUCGUACUCUAACGUGACUGGUCGUUAGCUAUCGCUAGUUUUCUACUGUUUUGGAACCAGCCUCCGUGUUUCAUGUUGCAGCCUGAAAUAAUUCAUUUUUACAAGACAACAUUUUACGUAAGUUUUGUUCAUUUAGCUGCAUGAUUUGUUGCUGUUUAUUUAUUUAAAUCGGCUCAGGCACCGAAAGGAAGCACCGAAAGGAAGCACCGAAAUCUGCAUUGCAUUUAAUUUAUUAUAGUAAGUUUUGAUUUGUAUAAAAUUCUCUUUUUCUUGUUUCCCUUUCACGUUCCCAGUCAAUUACAGGUAAGCUUUUUUUGUUUACCCUUUUUCAGUACAAAAGAAAAUGUUUCAUGUUACCACAACAUUGCAAAUAUGACUUACUGUAUUUUCCAGACUAUUAACUGCACAGACUAAAUAAAUCGCAUUACGCUUCGUUCGGACACACAAAUGACCAGGCGUAAUUCGGCAGGUAAAAUUCCGCCUCAGGUGCGUGGUCAGAAAAAUCAAGUUUGCCUGUCAAGUAGCAAGGUCAGUUGCAGUGCAGCGCCUGGCUGCCGGCGCUGGCGGCUAGGAAGCUAAAGAGCUUGUUAGUGGGUAACUUGGCCCAAAUAUGUUCAUGUGCAAAGUAAACAACAAUCAAUUGUUUAUGUUGACAGCAAUCAUGUUCUAGAGAAACACCAUAUAAUUCAUAUCAGCAUGCUAACGUUAUAUGUAACUUAUUGGCAGCUAUCAAGCUACUAUGUGUUCUAAUGGAUCUUCGGUUAAAGUGUUAGCAGCAAGCUAACAAUAAUGGUCGAGAGCUUCAGUUAAGACCUACAAUAUUCCGUUUGCCCUGACAGCAUUUGUGUAGCAUAUAAACAACAAACCUAGUCGAUGUAGACAAAUAAAAAGUCAUGUAGAAACCUUUAUUCACAUAAAAUAUUUCCCAGUAACAGACUCCCGAGACUCCGUCAUCUUGUUUGAUUUUUUUGAUUACUCCCGCCCCUCUGAACAACGUAGGCUUCCAAAUCACACACACGCCUAACUGAUUGGCUCUCGGGUGGUUCUGAUUUGCAUAAAGUUAAAUAAUCGCCGACUUGGAAUCGGCUGCAGAGGUGUAUUCUUCCUCAUGCCGGCCAAACAGGCGGAAUUCUGCCUCCCAUUCAAUCCCAAUGACAGCGAGGCGAAUUACGCCUGGUCAUAUGCUGUGUCUGAAUGAAGCGUUAUGGUAUUUUAUGUAAUUUUCAAAAGCAAAAUUGUGUAUUGGGCAUUUCAAGCAGACAAUUAUAAGGGAACAAAGCAAAAAUACCUCCUCCCCAUACGUGCACACACACACACACACACACAUACACACAUACACGCACACACACACACACACACCGACACAAAAGACGUUUUCACAUAUGAAGAAUCAGGGCCUCUUUCACAUCUGUAUAACAGGAGAGAUUGUCCAUUUCAGAUGCAUUAUGACUGGAAAUACUCUGUAUGUUACAGUCACUUGGACAGCACAGGAGAGAGAUAAUGUGGUUCCCAGCACACAGCACAAUCACUGAAAGAAUCACAAGAAGGCUCUUCGGAACAGUCUUCCUGCUUGACGCAGAAAGAUGCAAGGAGUCUCGGAGAAAAAACUUGACCACGGGAUGGCCACAUGCAGCACCAUCCAGACCAGUCCAUCCAAGAGGGGCCCCUGACCCUGCACAACCCAAGACUGCAGGCAAAUCGGAUUUGUUUUUCAAAUCAGACUUUAUGGACAUUUGUGAGAACUGUGAACUAUUGGAUUGGCAUAAGAAAACCCUUACCUGGUAUGAGGUGAAGUGUAAAGGGGUGUGUAGAUGUGUGAACACUUGGUACUUUGUUUCUGUGCCUAGUUUACAUGCUUAGUUUCUGUACUUAGUUGUGUGCCUUGAAUGGGCCUGGAUUGUGCCUAAAUGCUGUGUGCUGUGUUUAGUUGCGUUGUAGCAGAGUGCUUAAUCAUUCUACUGAUUUUUAUUGUAAUCAUUUAAUUUAAAAUUUUACUGAUUCCUCACACGGAGUUUAAUAAUGUCAUCCUUCGUACACAGGAACUUCAAACUCUUGUCACGUCAAUGUGGGAGUGGUUCCUGUGUAUAUAGUGUGUGUUGUGUUUGUUGGUUCUGGUUGGACCUGUGGAGUCGAUACUAGAGUCCCCCUUGUAAAUAAAUAUAUAUAUUUUUAUAAGAGCUACCAUCUCCUGCACUGUGUUUUCCCCCACAUCACCACCUAGUCCAGUCGCCCACAUCCGAAAAACGUGGGGUGACCGCCUCGGUCCCUCACAACAUUAUUAUUCUUUAUUAUAUUAAUAUACUUUCUGACUUUUUGGACAUUAAUAUUCUAGUGAACAUUAACACUCCAGUGGACAUUAACACUCCACUCGACAUUAAUACUCCAAUGGGCUCUCUGCAGGUACCAGUGAGUGAACAUUUCAGUACAGUAAUGUAUGUUUUACUCAUUAUUGUUUUUAUUGUUUGGCAGCUUUGUUUUGUUUAUUUGCAUUUUUAUAAAUUAAUAGCCCUGAGAUGAUUGUUUCAAACACGCAUACUUCAUAUACUGAGUCCAUGUAGUCAACUUUACUUUUUGAUCCAUACCGUUCAUCUACAGCUUGCUUGAUAGGCCACUAUAUGUUUCUGUUCUUGUAGCAUUUCAAAGUAUCAGUUCUUGAAGGCCUUGCCUCGCUGUAGCACAUACUAAUCUAACCCCUUAUAUUGCUCUUUCACGUGAUGCCUGCUCAGUUGCAAUCAGUUCAUAAGAAAAAGAGCAGGACACUGCUGCGGCACGUUCAAUCUGAAAAUGGUGUGCACUGUUUUGCCACGGUUUCUGGGUUGAACAACAUUUUUCCUCAAAACGGUGUGCAACUGGCUUUGAAUGAUAAGAAUACAAACUUAAAAAAAAACACGUAUUUAAACUGAUUUCAUCAGGCUCCAAAAUCCUUCAAAAUGAAUGCAAGGACUGGCCUUCUCAGCUCGCUUCUGUGUUUGCUGUUUUGUCUGUAUGCUGUUUUGUUUGUUUGCUAUGUUUAAUGCGUUCAGCCCCAGUGAAGGCUACCUUGGAGGUAUUCCAAGUAAGUGGUUUAGUGACAAACCUGGGUA
ensembl:lncRNA